AGAUUUUUCUUAAGGUAUAGUUUUGGACUCUCGCCUUAAUAGUGUGUUGCCAAAAUAAAGAUAUUCUCUGGCAGAGUGAGUUUUGUUGUUGUUGUUGUUGUUGGUUGAUUUGGUUUUUGUUUAGUUUUGCUUUCUAAGUAUAUUUAAAGGAUAUUUCUUUUGUUGUUUCUUUUUUGUAUUUUGGAUUUCUUUCCAACUUUCUGAAGCUGGCAGGACCUAAUCUGUCGGAUGGCUGCAUCAGUGAAGGAGCAAUCCACAAAGCCAAUUCCAUUACCACAGUCAACACCUGGCGAAGGAGAUAAUGAUGAAGAAGAUCCUUCAAAAUUAAAAGAGGAGCAGCAUGGCAUUUCAGUCACUGGUUUGCAGAGUCCAGGUACACUCUUCUGAAGAGUUCAAUGGAGAAUGUGCUCUAUUAUCUGU
rnacentral:sRNA from 1 species